GGCAGCGUAGUAUAGUGGUUUGAGUGGUGGACUAUGAUUUUGGGAGACCAGGGUUCAAAUACCUGCUCAGCCA